GAAGAAUUUAGCUCUCCCUUUGAGGAAGAUGGAAAUUCCUGAGAGAUUUUGAACAUAGGUUAACAUCUGACUACUAUCAACAGGAUCACUUCAGUUUGCUCUGUGGAGGAUAGCCUGAAGGGGGGCCAGGGAGGGAAUAAGUAGAGAGUCAGAGGUCAUGGCAAGAAUCCUGAUGGGAGAUGGUGGUGUUACCAGAGGGGAGGUUGCUGUAUCAUCCUAGAAAGAUGGCAGAGAUGACUCAUGGAAGCCAAGGAAGCAAAUUACAUAUCAGAAGAAGGCCACAGAGCCACCAAAUUGCCAGACUCAAUUACUGGGUUACUGAUGCCAGCCUUUGACUGUCUUCGAAAUAAUGCGAGAGGCAGAAAUCAAGUUUCUAACACCUUUGGGCCUCAUCACCGACUCCUCACUGCGAGUUCAUCUUAUAUAACUCCUUAGGCUCCUCAUGGAGUGGGGGACACAGUUCCUGAGGCAUAAGCCUACUGUGUUCCCCCCUCUGCUGGCUGAGGACUAAAGCCACCCUUCUAUUUCCUCAAAA